rnacentral:rRNA from 1 species
UAGACUUAGUCCCAACCUUACUGUUAGUUUUCGCCAAGUACAUACAUGCAAGUAUCCGCACCCCAGUGCAAAUGCCCUCCACCUACAUACCACCUAAGCUGGAGGAGCCGGUAUCAGGCACACCCCUCCCCACGGUAGCCCAAAACACCUUGCACCCGCCACACCCUCACGGGCAUUCAGCAGUAGUUAACAUUAGGCAAUGAGCGAAAGCCCGACCUAGCCACAGCGACAUUAAGGGCUGGUAAAUCUUGUGCCAGCCACCGCGGUUACACAAGAGGCCCAAAUUAACCGUUACUCGGCGUAAAGAGUGGCACUUUAUUAUCCAAAAGACUAGAGCUAAAAGUGAACUAAGCCGUCAUAAGCCCAAGACACACUCAAAACCACCAUUAAAAUGACUCCAGACAAACCCUGAUAAAUAACCCGCCACGAAAGCCAGGGCUCAAACUGGGAUUAGAUACCCCACUAUGCCUAGCCCUAAAUCUCGAUACUUUCCCCAACUAAAGUACCCGCCAGAGAACUACGAGCACAAACGCUUAAAACUCUAAGGACUUGGCGGUACCCCAAACCCACCUAGAGGAGCCUGUCCUAUAAUCGAUAACCCACGAUACACCCGACCAUUCCUCGCCAAACAGCCUACAUACCGCCGUCAUCAGCCCACCUCCUGAGAGUACAACAGUGAGCACAAUAGCCCCCCGCUAAUAAGACAGGUCAAGGUAUAGCCUAUGGAAUGGAAGAGAUGGGCUACACUCUCUAAACUAGAGAACCACGGAUAGGGUAGUGAAAACCUUCCCCUGAAGGCGGAUUUAGUAGUAAAAGUGAACCCAUCACACCACUUUUAAAAAGGCCCUGGGGUACGUACAUACCGCCCGUCACCCUCCUCAUAAGGCACUAUACCACAACAACCUAUUAAACCCCAAGCCCAAUAGAUGAGGUAAGUCGUAACAAGGUAAGUGUACCGGAAGGUGCACUUAGAAUAC